rnacentral:rRNA from 1 species
CAGUCGCCACGGUAAUACGGAGGGUGCAAGCGUUAUCCGGAUUUAUUGGGUUUAAAGGGUCCGUAGGCGGAUCUGUAAGUCAGUGGUGAAAUCUCACAGCUUAACUGUGAAACUGCCAUUGAUACUGCAGGUCUUGAGUAAAUUUGAAGUGGCUGGAAUAAGUAGUGUAGCGGUGAAAUGCAUAGAUAUUACUUAGAACACCAAUUGCGAAGGCAGGUCACUAAGAUUUAACUGACGCUGAUGGGCGAAAGCGUGGGGAGCGAACAGGAUUAGAUACCCCUGUAGUCCCUGUCUCUUAUAC